rnacentral:rRNA from 1 species
UUGAGCAUCAAACUUUUAAAUUGAAGAGUUUGAUCAUGGCUCAGAUUGAACGCUGGCGGCAGGCCUAACACAUGCAAGUCGAACGGUAACAGGAAGCAGCUUGCUGCUUUGCUGACGAGUGGCGGACGGGUGAGUAAUGUCUGGGAAACUGCCUGAUGG